GUCUUCAUAGUUCAGUGGUUAGAGGCUAGAGCACUGGUCUUGUAAACUAGGGGUGGGGAGUUCGAUUCUCUCUGGAGGCA
rnacentral:tRNA from 1 species